UUUCCCUUAGCCCAGAGGUUUUUGACUUUUUUUGAGUCCACGGCUCCCUUGACCAACUACAUUCUUUCUGUGAGGCUCAGGAGCCCAGCUAUGCCACCCCUUGCCAGCAGAGCUGGCAGCCUCUCGUCCUUUUUCUGACUCCUUCCCUUGUGGAGUGUUCCCUCUUCUCCUCUCCCCUCUCCUUCGGAGUCCCCUGGACAGCCGCAACUGCCGCCCCUUCCCUAAAGAGAGGUGCCUCCUCACGCUGCCCCACAGGGGCCUGGGGAGCACCCCCUGGCCAGCUCCAGAGGCACCGUUCGCCUGGGGAGCUUGUAGCCAGGGGUGCUGCAACAAACAGCUGUGCAAGCCUUUGGGAGGCAGAGAUGCAAGAAGGCAUGGGGGGGGGGAGAAAGAGGGACAGAGGCCAGUGUUGCUCCCAGCACCCUUGACCAUCAUUCAGGGCACCCCAGGGUGCCACAGCACCCUGGUUGAAAACCACUGCCCACCCAACAAGCAUCAGACAUACAUCACAGAAAGAGGCAGUCUUCUCUCCUGGCUUGUCUCUUGUCAUGAUACCCUGACAAUGUUUGCUGGUUGCCCUUUCCUGACCAGUCUGAGCCUUUCCCUUGAAAUGGUAAAUACCUCAGUUCUUGAAUCCAUUGUCACAGAUCUACCCCUAUUUAUGUGAGAUGUUUAUAGCUUUGGAAGGAUUUGUAAGUGAAAAGAACUAUUGGGAAAGGUUUUUUCUUCAACUGCAGAGUAAAUAUCUGGGGUCAUUAAGAGGGCUUCAGAAUUGCUCUGUGAACUCAAAGAAAGUGUCUUUUUUUUCAGGGAAUAUUUUAUAAUUUUUGAAUGGUGAAGGGUUGUUUUUUCUCCAGGGUGUGUGUCUGCUAUGUGUGCACCUUAAGAUUUGUGUAACACUCAUGCCAACUUUGGUUGCCCAGCGCCUGCAAGUCCCCUACUGUGACAUCAUAGAAUGCUUGCAGUUUUUUUAUAAACCCCACCAGCAACUGCUCACCAGGAGCAGAACUGAGCAGCUUCUGUGAGUGAAGUGAAGAGCUGUUUCUCAGAAGAGGAAGCCCUGGGAGAGACUAGGGUUCAAAUACCUCCUUACUCAGCUAUGCAGCUCACUGGGUGACCUGGGGCAGGUUGUGGGGAUUAAAUGAGAAGAUAGGACACCCCUUCGAGACUGCUCUGAGAUCCCAGGUUGGAUAUAAGCGCCAUAAAUGAGAAAAGAGAGACACACGUCGGCCUGUGAAUGACCCCAGGCAGCUGGCAGAAGGACUCGGACAUAGAGGCAGAGGGAACCUGAAGGCUUCAGGACGAAGUUGCUGUUAAGCACUGGACAUAGCGCCGACUGGAAAAGGUGAGUGGCCGUCUGCAAGAUCUUACAGAGCUCAUGAGAUCUUGAGAUUUCAGGAAAAUCUCACAAGAUCUUGCUAGCCUAAUACUGCUAUUAAACCAACUAGAUUUAGUAGGAUUAUGCGUAGGGUUUCCAUGUUGGGUUGCAGCUAGCACUGUGGGCAGGGUAAAGUCCUGGCACUUAUAUGACCUCCCACUACGGACAUUGCUGGUGCUGGCAGGGUUGAGUAAGGUUGGCACAGUGCAAACACACCAGUGCAGCCAAACUCGUGCUCAUGCCAGUGUGUUCACACCACAUCAACCUCACCUCCUUCCUCCUCUACCUGUUCCCUUUUGAGAUGCAGAUGAGGACAUGUUUGUGGAUGAACCCAGCUUCAUGGCCGAAGAUUCCCUGUGGUUACAGCAAAGGCAAUCCUAACCCAAGAAGGACAACAGGAAAUGACUAAUUGCAUGAACAUGCAAUUGCCCUGCCCAUUUUCUCCCCUAUCUUUAUAGGUAUCGGUUCCAGCCUGUGACCUGGUAAGAAGUGGAAAGGAAGCCUUACCAUCCCAAACCUGUGGUGGACAUUGAACCUCCAAACUCUCUGGGGAUGGAUGCACCGGAAGCCACCGGUCCCACAGAGGAAGAUGUUCGACCGUGGAUCUUACAAUUUUUUGGUGGACCUGAAAAUCCUAUUCAGGAAACAACCAGUGGGAAGGAAAUUCUCCUCCUCCCAGGCCUUGGAAGAAACACAUUCUGCUCAAGGGCCAAGUGACUGUUUCAGUACAAAUAAAGUGACAGUUGCAGGUGAACCAGGAAA